GACUCUUAGCAAUGAAAAUCUCGAUUCUUGCAUUGAUGAAGAAUGCAGCAAAAUGCGAUACUUGGUGUGAAUUGCAGAAUCCCAUGAAUCAUUGAGUCUUUGAAUGCAAGUUGCACCCGAAGCCAUUAGGUUGAGGGUAUAUCUUCUUGGGUGUCA